CCAACUUAAGGAACAGAACAUUAAUAAUGGAGUAAAAGCUAUCUGUGUGUCAUCUCUCAUUCCACGCUCUGCCUCCUCCUGCAGGUACUGCUGCUGAAGACUUUCCUGGAGAGCCAGCUCCUCAAGGGCAAGAAGAAGAGCCACCACUGACAAGU